rnacentral:lncRNA from 13 species
CAAGUGAAAAACUAUUUAUUAAGCACAACUAUAAAUAAGCCAGGGCAGCUGCUCCACUCAACAUAAGAAGUGGGUGCUGCUAUUUCACGCCACAUUGAGGAAACCAAGGCCUAGAGAGGUUUACCAACGUGUCCAGGACCCACAGCCAGAACCCAAGAGGCAAGCCCAGGUCUCUGGCCUGAUACUUCCACCAGGACCAUGGUCCUUUAAAGAUCCUGGUGCAGCUUAGCUGAGCCCUCCACUUCAGUACUUCUGCAGGCUGCAAUCGAGGUGUCAGCUGAGCCGGAGUCGUCUCAAGGCUCAACUGGGGACCCAACGCCAAGAUCACUCAAGCAGCUGCUGCAGUAUUCAGUGGACCCUUGGACUCAAGGACCUGAUGCCCGUCACUGCCUAUGCCCUCUGUUCCUCAGCACGUUGGCCUUUCCCUGGGGCAGCCCCCAACAUGGCAGCUGCUUCAUCAGAACAAAUAAGAAAGAAGUCUUGAAGAGUGCGAGCAGUAGGGGAGUCCCAGUUUUGUAGAGUCUAACCUCAAAAGUGACAUUCCUCCACUUUUACCAUAUUGUAUUCAUUAGAAGCAAGUGGCCAGGUCCAGCCUCCACUCAGGGGAGGGGAUUACACAAAGAUGUGUGGUAGGCAUACCACAUACUGGAACAUUUAUAGCAUCUUCUCAAUAACAAAAGGUAUUUUCUCAAGUUAACUGUCUGAUGUGGAAACUUUCUAAGUCUGUUAGUGAGUGCGCACGCCCAUUUCUCACGAGCAACAGCCCCUUCGUCCCCCACCUCCACCAGGCUUUAGUGGGAAGUCCCCGCU